CCUACGGGUGGCAGCAGUGGGGGAUAUUGCACAAUGGGGGAAACCCUGAUGCAGCGACGCCGCGUGUGGGAAGACGGUCCUCUGGAUUGUAAACCACUGUCCCCAGGGACGAAGAUGACGGUACCUGGGGAGGAAGCUCCGGCUAACUACGUGCAAGCAGCCGCGGUACUACGUAGGGAGCAAGCGUUGUCCGGAAUUACUGGGUGUAAGGGGAGCGUAGGCGGGAUGGCAAGUUGGGUGUUAAAUCUACCGGCUCAACUGGUAGUCGCACUCAAAACUGCUAUUCUUGAGUGAAGUAGAGGCAGGCGGAAUUCGUGGUGUAGCGGUGAAAUGCGUAGAUAUUAGGAGGAACACCAGUUGCGAAGGCGGCCUGCUAAGCUUUUACUGACGCUGAGGCUCGAAAGUGUGGGGAGCAAACAGGAUUAGAUACCCUAGUAGUC
rnacentral:rRNA from 1 species